rnacentral:rRNA from 1 species
GAUGAACGCUAGCGGCAGGCCUAACACAUGCAAGUCGAGGGGCAGCACGGUGUAGCAAUACACUGGUGGCGACCGGCGCACGGGUGAGUAACACGUAUCCAACCUGCCGAUAACUCGGGGAUAGCCUUUCGAAAGAAAGAUUAAUACCCGAUGGUAUAAUUAGACCGCAUGGUCUUGUUAUUAAAGAAUUUCGGUUAUCGAUGGGGAUGCGUUCCAUUAAGCAGUUGGUGAGGUAACGGCUCACCAAACCUUCGAUGGAUAGGGGUUCUGAGAGGAAGGUCCCCCCACAUUGGAACUGAGACACGGUCCAAACUCCUACGGGAGCAGCAGUGAGGAAUAUUGGGUCAAUGGGCGC